GACGAACGCUGGCGGCGUGCUUAACACAUGCAAGUCGAACGGAAAGGCCCUGCUUGCAGGGUACUCGAGUAGCGAACGGGUGAGUAACACGUGGGUGAUCUGCCCUGCACUUCGGGAUAAGCCUGGGAAACUGGGUCUAAUACCGGAUAGGAGCCAUUUUUAGUGUGAUGGUUGGAAAGUUUUUUCGGUGUAGGAUGAGCUCGCGGCCUAUCAGCUUGUUGGUGGGGUAAUGGCCUACCAAGGCGGCGACGGGUAGCCGGCCUGAGAGGGUGGACGGCCACAUUGGGACUGAGAUACGGCCCAGACUCCUACGGGAGGCAGCAGUGGGGAAUAUUGCACAAUGGGCGCAAGCCUGAUGCAGCGACGCCGCGUGGGGGAUGACGGCCUUCGGGUUGUAAACUCCUUUCGCUAGGGACGAAGCUUUUGUGACGGUACCUAGAUAAGAAGCACCGGCUAACUACGUG
rnacentral:rRNA from 1 species